rnacentral:rRNA from 1 species
GAUGAACGCUGGCGGCGUGCCUAAUACAUGCAAGUCGAGCGAACGGACGAGAAGCUUGCUUUUCUGAUGUUAGCGGCGGACGGGUGAGUAACACGUGGAUAACCUACCUAUAAGACUGGGAUAACUUCGGGAAACCGGAGCUAAUACCGGAUAAUAUUUUGAACCGCAUGGUUCAAAAGUGAAAGACGGUCUUGCUGUCACUUAUAGAUGGAUCCGCGCUGCAUUAGCUAGUUGGUAAGGUAACGGCUUACCAAGGCAACGAUGCAUAGCCGACCUGAGAGGGUGAUCGGCCACACUGGAACUGAGACACGGUCCAGACUCCUACGGGAGGCAGCAGUAGGGAAUCUUCCGCAAUGGGCGAAAGCCUGACGGAGCAACGCCGCGUGAGUGAUGAAGGUCUUGGAUCGUAAAACUCUGUUAUUAGGGAAGAACAUAUGUGCAAGUAACUGUGCACAUCUUGACGGUACCUAAUCAGAAAGCCACGGCUAACUACGUG